GCCGGAGUGGUGAAAUUGGUAGACGCGCACGUUUCAGGGGCGUGUGGCCGCAAGGCCGUGUGGGUUCAAAUCCCACCUCCGGCA
rnacentral:tRNA from 1 species